CGCAUGACAGUGCAGUGCAGUGCCCCUAGUGGCGGAAGUCGUUAAAACCACCCAAAAAGUCAGUGGGGUAGCCAUUUUGAUUCCUAACAGUGGAGAGCGUAUGAUCACAUCCACUUCCAUCCUCUUUCUUUUGACAAGUUCAGGCACAAUCUCUCACUGUUCCACACAACAUCGCUAUUUGCCAUGGAUGCUAAUUUGCCGUCUCAGACGAGGAGUUAAGACAGAGAGAGGAUGAACUGGCAGCGCCGCAUCACUGUGGAGAGCGGCAGAGCGGGACGAGAGAGGCGCCUCGCGGCGCACUUGACCAAUGAAUCAACAUGUGAGGAUAAAAAGUCCACCUGGACCGGACCGGGCUCGGCGGUGACUGCGCAAUCUGCCGAAGGUUGUCGUCGAUGGAAGUGAGCAGCGGGAGAGCGCAAAUCUGG